UUGUUUUUAUUUCUUUUUGAAUUGAUGUUUGUUUGAUUUUUGUCAAAUCCUCCUUUACUCUGAUUCUGCAAGAAAAGAAUGGACUGCUGGAUAAAUUCCUUUACGAUGCAAGAAAAGAAGCUUCACUUCUCCACCAAAUAAAGUUUCAAUCUUUUUGGUUCACAACUAGUUAUUAAUCAUUAAGUAAUUUGGGUAAUUUAGCAUCCGUUUUUAGAUCAGGAGAGAAAAAACUAAAAAUGACAGAGAGCUUCAAGUUGGAGUUAGCUUAGCCACUUCUUUUUUUUUUGUGCUCAGAAGAAAGAACAGUCGCCGGCAAAAAAGUCUCAACCUUUUCCCUCUCCGCUUGUUCACUGGUCACUGGCAUUUCUCUCUCUCCGACUUGAUUUCCUUAUCGCAUGAUUUUCAACGGCGAUGGGAGACGAGAAGCCGGCGGUUGUGAUGGCCAAUCGAGAAAGAGAUCGAGAGCUUGUUCCCGUCGCUGAUUCCGGCGACAAAGACGAUAGUCCUUCUUCGAAGCCUUCUUCUUCUUCUGCUUCCUCUUCCUCUUCCUCUUCUUCUUCGCAUCAAUCCAGCCACGAGACUUUAAGCUUGUUCAUUAGGGGUUGGGCGUCCAAGAAGUUCAUGACAGGCUGGUUCUUCUGUACAGAUCAGGACUAGUCACUGCUGCUGCAUCUUUUGUAGCUGUUCUACUGCUGCAUUUUUACCAGGAGACUCUUGGUUAAGUGAAAUAAUCAAACAAAACCAUGAUUUGUUUUACUUCGUUGGUGCUAGUGGUUUAGGGCUAUCUCUGUUUCUUAUUCAUAUUUAUGUUACGGUGAUUAAGAGGACUCUUCAAGCUUUAUGGGCACUUGGUUUUGUUGGUUCCUUGGCCACUUACGCAGCCCUUGCUAGACCAGCCGGUGAUAACUUGGUUCAGUAUGUCGUUGAUCAUCCUACUGCUGUUUGGUUUGUUGGUCCCCUUUUCGCUGCUCUUACAGGCCUUGUUUUCAAAGAAGGACUCUGCUACGGAAAACUAGAAGCUGCCUUCUUACAUUCAUCAUACCUUCAGUUCUUCUUGGUCAUUUGAGUGGUCUGAUGAAUGAUGAGGCAAAACUGGUGUUGCUAGGAAGUUAUACAGGAAAGGAAAAGUCACAAGAGUUUGGUAGCAAAGUUACACCUAUUGUCUCUAAAGUUCUCUUCUUUGAGCAAGUCCGUCUCCUUCAAAAGUCUCCGGAAUGGUAUAUAUAUAAGCUUCUGAGGAUAUGCUUGAAGAUGAUGUAGCUUCAAACAAAGCAAUAGGACCCUUUGGUUUGAACAUGUUGAGAACUUGAUCAGUUUAGGACAUGACUUUGUGUUUUGUUUAUGGUUUGGUUUGAUGGUUACAUCUUCUCUUCUAGAGUUCAUGAUUGUCAUGUGUUCAUUUUGUAUGAUUUGGAUCUUUUAUGGGAAAGCAAUGGUAUUUUAUGAUUUUUUUUGUUGGCUUUA